AGUGCUUUGGCUUAACGGCGGUGGAGUUUUGGUGAUUGAGGCCUUUGAGUUUUGGGGGUAUAAUUUAUACCAGUCGUUUGAGAUUACAGGGUUCAAGGAAGAUCCUCGGGUUUGGAAUUUGAUUGAAGGAAGUGAAUGUUUGGGAAGAAACAUGGCUGCAGGGACUGAUUUUUCGCCCCCAUUUACCGUACUAGAAGGAGGGUACAGCAAGGACAAUGCAUCUUCCAUGGAAGAUGAGAAUUCCGAGAUUUCAGAGAGCUUGAAACAAAUGAAGACAGGGAAACCUCCACGGCAUCUCUCAGUUAUUCGGAAUUGUAUCAGCUCUGCUCGGUUGGCCACAUCUGAUUUGGAGCUCAAUAUAGGCAUUGUUGGAAUAAAGUCGCCAUCAGAUGGAAAAUCUGGGUUUUUACCCUUAUUUCGUUCAGGAAGCUGUUCUGAGAUUGGACCAAAACAGUACAUGGAGGAUGAACAUAUCUGUAUAGAUAAUCUUGUUGAACAUCUUAGUGGGAACAUUAACUUCCCUUCUCCAGGAGCUUUCUACGGGGUGUUUGAUGGGCAUGGUGGUUCAGAUGCAGCAUCGUUCAUCAAAAAGAACAUUCUUAAAUUUAUAGUUGAAGACUCCCACUUCCCCUCUUGCAUGGAGACGGCUAUUAAGAGUGCUUUUGUGAAUGCUGACUAUGCUUUUGCUGAUGCCUGUACUCUUGACAGCUCCUCUGGCACCACAGCUCUAACUGCUCUUGUUUUUGGAAGGAACAUGCUAAUUGCCAAUGCUGGCGAUUGCCGAGCUGUGUUGGGUAAACGUGGAAGAGCAGUUGAGCUCUCCAAAGAUCACAAACCAAAUUGUACAUCUGAAAAACUAAGAAUCGAGAAGCUAGGUGGCAUCGUGUAUGAUGGCUAUCUUAAUGGCCAAUUGUCGGUGGCACGGGCCCUUGGAGACUGGCACAUGAAGGGCCCCAAGGGGUCAGCAUGCCCCUUAAGUGCAGAGCCAGAGUUGCAGGAGACCAUCCUGAGUGAGGAAGACGAGUUCCUCAUAAUGGGUUGUGAUGGGCUUUGGGAUGUGAUGAGCAGCCAGUGUGCAGUGACAAUAGCGAGGAAAGAGUUGAUGCUCCAUAAUGAUCCAGAGAGAUGCUCAAGGGAGCUGGUGAGGGAGGCACUAAAGCGCCAGACGUGUGAUAAUCUGACAGUGGUUGUUGUUUGUUUCUCUCCAGAGCCACCACCUCGGAUAGAGAUCCCUAAAUCACGGGUGCGGAGGAGUAUAUCGGCUGAAGGGCUGAAUUUUCUAAAGGGUGUUUUGGACAGUAAUGAGUGAAAAAAGAGAAUGAUGCUUGGCGGCCUGUAUAAAGAUUUAAAGAAAGGAAUGGAAGAGGAUUUGGAGUUUACCACUGGUGGUGGAGUUGGGUCGAUGAAUAUGGACUUUUUCGAGGCUGCUAUGCUCCUUGGCCCGGGCUGUAAGUUUGUGCAUGUUUCUAUACUCCUCUGCGUCUCAAAGCAAGCUGGAAGAGAUGGUGUCUGAUUCUGUCAUUGGACUCUAUCCGCUGCUGACAGCUUGGUAUUGUUGUACCAUGUUCUUACAAAAUUAGUAUUUCCAUUUUAAUAUUCCAUCUUUG